GAUGGGGAAACUGAAGCUCAGAGAGAUCAAGUGAGUUGCUCAAGGUCACACAGCAAGCCAGGCUUUAAUCCAAGCCAGCUGGAAGGAAACAGUGAAGGGAAGAGCAUUGCCCAUUCCUUGUGAAGGUCACGACGCAGAAGUGGGUCCAGGGGAUAUGUAGCAGAGGAGCUUUCCAUUAGCUACAACUUAGUCGCAUGACUCCACCUUGCUGCAAAGAAGCCUGGGAUAUGUGGUAAAGCUGUGGGAAGCUGUGUGUCCAGCUAAGAGUCAGGUGUUCUCUUACUAGGGAAGAGGGGAAGGAACAGAUAUUGGGGGGAAUCAUUCAUAAUCUUUGCCCAAAGCAUCUGGCUCAGAGAGGCUCUACAACUGCUAUUGUUGUUGUCUCUUCUUUGAAAAACUCAGUAGGUGUAUUUGAAAGAUAUACCUAAAUACUGGAUACUGAUAUCACUCUGCAUUGGAUUUUGGAAUCAAUACAGUAAGGUUUAAAUCUCUGUUUUCAUGGCUUUGUGAUCUCUCCGAAUCCUGUUUUCAUCAGUCAAGCAGGGAUAAAGGCAUAUUAUUCAUGCAGGGGCUGGGAAAAUCAAUGAGCAUAAAGCUCAUGAACAAUGUCCAGCCCAAAGGGGGUGCUCAGUAAAGGGUCAUUUUAUUGAUAAGAAAUGUGUAUGAUAGGUAAGAACAUGA